GGUGAUGCCGAGCUGAAGCUGGGAAGCGGAUGUGAGGGAAGAGUUCCAGGCAGAGGGAAGGCAAAUGCAGAGAUCCUCAGGCAGGAACACUGAACUGUUCUCCGUAUUUGAGGAGCAGAGGGCGUGUCAGUGGUGGCCGCAGCAGCUGAGCAAAGGUCUUAGAAUCCCAGCUAAUGUCGUGGGACCUAGCACCCAAUCCCAAAAGAAAGAAGAAUAGAUAGGAACCCACUGUUGACAAGAAGGUGCACUGAGAAGUGUUUUUAUCUGACCCGAUCUGCAUCCAGUUUAGAAGCCGAUACAUCAGGGAUUUAACAAUCUGCCUUAAUGUCUAGCAAGGGGGGUUGCUGGAGGGAAAACACAGAGUCAGAGUUCUAUCUUCAGCCCUGCCAGCAGGUCCCUGGGAGAUGCUAGACGAGUGACUUUUCUCUGGGCGUGGUUGGUGUAAGGGAUGCACACGCAGGAGGAAGGUCGGAGUGUAAAUGUGUGACGUGGGCCUGUUACUGGGUAUAAAUGGGCCUGUAGUGACCGGGAGCUCAUGUUCUACCAAAGGGGUUGCCAAUUUUCUGAUUUCGAGUGUGGCGGUGUAAAAGAGAAAAGCAACUGCUGCCAGCUGGGAGCUGGUUUGCACCCUCACUCCAGAAGCCUUGAUGUUGCUAGGAGCUGGCCUGGCACCAACAGCGCGGCCAUGGUGGUGUCCUGUUGAGCAAAAUAAUUUCACAAAAAACAUCAGACAAGGUCACUCUCUGACUGAUUAUCUAGAAAAAGACCAUUCCAUAAUAAAGCCUCAAUACAGAAACAAGAACAUUGUCCAAACCACAAAAAUUACCAACACAAUCCUCUCUCCCACAGCGUAAGUUACUGCUGCUUUUUUUUUGGUUGUUGUUUUUGUUUGUUUUGUUUUGUUUUUGAAAUGAAGUCUUGCUCUGUUACCCAGGCUGGAGUGCAGUGAUGCAAUCUUGGCUCACCACAACCUCCACCUCCAGGUUCAAGCGAUUCUCCUGCCUCAGCUUCCAGAGUAUCUGGGAUUACAGGCACCCACCAUCAUGCCCAGAUCAUUUCUGUAUUUUUAGUAGAGAUGGGGAUUCACCAAGUUGCCCAGGUGCUUCCUGGUGGUCCUUGGUUGGAGGGUACUAUCAGAAAUGGAGGAGCAACAAAGAUUCAGCUGAAGCCCUCACUGCCUGGGACUGGGACCCUUGACUCGUCAUUGUAUGCACACCUGAAACUGCUUAUGUCGCUGAGGUGCCAACCUGCUGAUGGUUGGAAGCUAAUUGAGUUCUGAUAUUGUGUUGAUACCCUUAAGCAUUGGGUUUACUUUUUAUUUUAAUUAAUUAAUUAAUUUUUGAGACGGAGUUUCGCUCUUGUUGCCCAGGCUGAAGUGCAAUGGCGCGAUCUCGGCUCACCGCAACCUCCGCCUCCUGGGUUCAAGCAAUUCUUCUGCCUCAGCCUCUUGAGUAGCUGGGAUUACAGGCAUGCACCACCACACCUGGCUAAUUUUAUAUUUGUAGUAGAGACAGUUUCUCCAUGUUUGUCAGGCUGGUCUCAAACUCCUGACCUCAGGUGAUCCACCCGCCUCGGCCUCCCAAAGUGCUAGGAUUACAGGCGUGAGCCACCAUGCCUGGCCAUAUUUUUUAUUUUUCAUUUUUUACUUUUUGAGAUAGGGUCUCACUCUGUUGACCAGGCUGGAGUGCAGUGGUACGACUCAGCUCACUGCAACCUCUGCUUCCCAGCUCAAGUGAUUCUCCAGUCUCAGCCUCCUGAGUA
rnacentral:antisense_RNA from 1 species